AUAAUAUUAAAAAAAAUAAUAUUAUUAUAUUUCUAAAUAGAUAAUAGGAUUAUGACAUAAAUUUAUUUAUAAGUCUUGACUAAAUUACGUGCCAGCAGUCGCGGUAAUACGUAGAAGACGAGUGUUAAUCAUCUUUAUUAGGUUUAAAGGGUACCUAGACGGUAAAUUUAAGUUUAAAAAAGCUAAUAGUUUACUAGAGUUUUAUAGGAGAAAGGGAGAACUUUUAGAGUAAAGAUAUAAUUUAUUUAUACUAAAAGGACUGAUAAGAGCGUAGGCAACUUUCUAGUUAAAAACUGACGUUGAGGGACGAAGGCAUGGGUAACGAAAAGGAUUAGAUACCCUAAUAGUCCAAGCAGAAAAUUAUGAAUGCUAUAAGUUAGAGUUUUUUUAUCUUAUAAAUGAAAGUUUAAGC
rnacentral:rRNA from 1 species